UUUUUUUUUUUAGGUGUAGUUUUUCUUUAGAACGCCAGGCAAAGGAAGGGGAAGCAACUCUGCAAAAGACAACCCAAAAGUGUGGCCGGUGCAGCAGCCUCCUCCCCGACAGGAGAGUGCCGAAAGGAGGGGUUCACCUGACAGUGGAACGACCUGACCUUGACAGCUCAGCCAAGGUGGCUUCAGCCAUGACAGGGACGAUGAUGCCUGGGAUCAUCUGUACCCUGGAGAUGAAUGAUGAGGAGGGCACCUUGCCUCUGCGCAUGCCCAGGCUGCUCGCGAGGAUAUCAGACAGUUCCGGCUGAGGGUCCUUCUGCAGAAUAGUGCCCAUCACUCUUCAGGCCUGUCAGGCUGGGGCCUCGGCCCUGCCUGGGUCCACUCAACCCUCAUACCAACCCCUGUGGUGCACCCUGCCACCAUCUUUCUGUCCUUCAAAAGCACUAAGAGCCAUGCCCCUGGCAGCACUUUUGUGUUUGGUUUGGUUUCAUUUUUUGAGACAAAGUCUUGCUAUGUACAUAGCCCAGGCUGGCCUUGAACGCAUGAUCCUCCUGCCUCAGCCUCCCCUUGCUGUGUGCACCACCGUGUUCUGUAAGUGUCCCUGCAACAGGUUUGCCGAGAGCCAAUCUCCUGUCGUUCCUGGAGCAGGGAUCCUGUCCAGGUUGCCGUCAUGCCAGUCAUCACGAGCAGGCGACAGGAUGGGGACUUCAGCGGCAGAGCACCUGCUGUGUUAAGGAAGUGACAGGCGAGCCUGUGGCCCCGCAGUACAAGAUGCCUUUGGCCAGCGGAUGCGGGUCUGGUGGCAGUGGUGCUGCUGACUGGGUCUUGGACUCAGCUUCUCCAUGGCGGGACCAGGACAGCUGCCCUCAAGCCGCCGUGAGUGACGAGAGCAAGCGAGGCCCCCGCCAAAGCCAUCCCGCUGCCCUGCCUGCCUGGCGCCAUGUGGGCCUCCGCUGCCUGGGGAAAUGGUGGCUGCGGCUCUGCGGUCUGUGUAGUAGGGGGCAGCCUGCCCUGAGGGAAUACGGCACACAGACCUCGCGGACGCUGCAUGAUUUUGAUGGAAUAUGAUGGGCGAGAGUGUUUUCUUUCUGUUUUGCAGUGGUUUUGUUUUUUUAUUUUUAAAUCACCAGGUUUGGUGGUGCAUA